UACGUAGGGGCCGAGCGUUGUCCGGAGUUACUGGGCGUAAAGAGCUCGUAGGUGGUUUGUCGCGUUGUGCGUGAAAACCUGAGGCUUAACCUUGGGCGUGCGGGCGAUACGGGCAGACUGGAGUACUGCAGGGGAGACUGGAAUUCCUGGUGUAGCGGUGGAAUGCGCAGAUAUCAGGAGGAACACCGGUGGCGAAGGCGGGUCUCUGGGCAGUAACUGACGCUGAGGCGCGAAAGCGUGGGGAGCGAACAGG
rnacentral:rRNA from 1 species